rnacentral:misc_RNA from 1 species
GAUGAAGAACGUAGCGAAAUGCGAUAAGUAAUGUGAAUUGCAGAAUUCAGUGAAUCAUCGAAUCUUUGAACGCACCUUGCGCCCUUCGGACAUUCCGAAGGGCAUGCCUGUUUGAGUAUCAUGAACACCUCAACUCUCACGGCUUGUCCGUGAUGAGCUUGGACUUUGGGGGUCUUGCCGGCCUGUGGUCGGCUCCUCUCAAAUGGAUCAGCUUGCCAGUGUUUGGUGGCAUCACAGGUGUGAUAACUAUCUGCGCUUGUGGUUUUCCAUCAGAUAACCUUCAGUGAUAUGGAGGUUCGCUGGAGCUCACAAAUGUCUCUCCUUAGUGAGGACAGCUCUUUGAACGUUUGAUCUCAAAUCAGGUAGGACUACCCGCUGAACUUAAGCAUAUCAAUAAGCGGAGGA